UAGGGAAUCUUCGGCAAUGGGGGCGAACCCUGACCGAGCAACGCCGCGUGAGUGAAGAAGGUUUUCGGAUCGUAAAGCUCUGUUGUAAGAGAAGAACGUGUGUGAGAGUGGAAAGUUCACACAGUGACGGUAACUUACCAGAAAGGGACGGCUAACUACGUGCCAU
rnacentral:rRNA from 1 species